GCAACCGGAAGUGAUGUGUCACGGAGCAUUCCUGGAGAUGUAGUUUAGACUACCUACAGACGGUGGUAAAAUUUUCCGUCCUCCGCCCUCCAUGGAAAAGGGUUGGGUGGUGGGAAAGUGUAAAAAGCUAGUUCGGAAACCUGCGCACGACAACAUGGAGGCCCAAGUCACCUACGACCACAGUGGCGACAAACCCGCCGUCGUGAGCCUAGCCCGUCUCCGCAGUAACCGGUUUGCGCUGAGGACUCCGGGAGUUGUAGUUGGGAAGAAGCCGGCUCCGCGCCAGGACAGCCAAGCCGAUACCGGUUAGCGUUCGCCUCUACUGGCCAUAGGCGGACUCCGCGGACAGAGCGAGCAGCCCGACUUGCUCUUCAGACGGACUGAGAACAAGGAGUUCACCGCCCAUCAGUGACUUUCUGAAAGAGGCUCCUGUGAACAACUUCACACAGGCACCAAACUAGGAACCACCUGGGAAUGUUCCUUUCUCUUCCCUGGCAGCAGAGAAGCUGAGCCGUGGCCUUCCCUUCCUAAGAUCAGAAUCAGAGGCGCGAUUUAAACUCCUUGCAAAGGAACUGCAUCACUUCAUUUGGAUUCUCCACAGCACCUCUGAGCAUGAAACACCCUGGGACGAGGCUGUCUCCACAGCUGCGGACACAGGGGUCCAAGCAGAUGAUUCAGGGAGCUUGCCUUUGAUGAAGAUGCAGCCUGCCUCUUCUGGGAUGCUUGUCCCUCAUUCUCUUCAAGGUUACACAAGGAGGAAGACCUCCAAACUCGGGGCCCUGGACAGCACCCCAUGAGGACCACCUCAUUGCAGACAAUGUAGUCAUUUCUUCACUAUGAAUUCUUAGGAUCUAAUACCUAAGAGAGGAACUUGAAUGGGGAACUCUGCCACCUUCUGCACACCUGCAGCUUUCUUUCCCAGUAUGAAUUCUCAAAGCUGAAUCAGGCUGGGUCAACUGGAGACUGUCCCAUUUUCUUUGCACUUGUAAGUUUUCUUCUUCAGUAGCAUUUCCUUGCUGAUGGGAAAAGGAAGGCUGAACUUUCUCCAGUUUCCUGCAGGCUUUGCACCAACAGGCUGUCUUUCCUCUACCCUCUAAAUUAUUUGAUGCUGAAGAAAUUUCCCACUUUCCCAGAAUGCUUUGCCACCUAAGCUACAAUUGUCUGGUUUGUUUGUUCCUGCAUGAAGGUGAUGCUGUAUUGUCCCAGGUUUGCACACCAGCUGGAAAGCCUCUGACAGACAUUACACAGGGCCUCUCUCCACCCAAUUCUCCGGUGCCUAAGUAGCCCUGGGUCCAGCUGAAGACUUUUCCAUUCCCUUUAUGGUCGUCUGGUUUCCCUCUAGUGUAAAUACCCUGAUUUAUGUUGAAAAAGAUGUGUGAAUGAAAUAAAAGAUUUCCCAGGUUCAAAACAUUCAAAGGUGUCUCUCUAAAAUCAAUUAUCAUAUUCUGAAUUAUUUUUUUUUCUAGAAGUUUCUUUGCAUUGACCAUUUUCCUCUCCCGUGUGAAUUGCUGAGUAUUGUUGAAGGUUUGGACUUUAUAGUAGAGAGGUUUUCCCAUAUAUACUUAUUACCUUCAUAGCAUCUCUCUCCACCUCCAAUAUUCCUGUGUCUAUAGGACCUGAACUUCAGUAAAUAUUCUGCCACAUUCAUAUGGCUUCUCUUCAGUGGGACAUCUGUGCUGUUUGAUGAGACACAAAAGUUUUUCCACCCUCAUUACAUAAGGAAGAUUUUGAUCUCCCACAGAAAUCCUGUAGUUUUGAGUAUGUUCUGAAUGCUGCUACAUUCCUGUGGUGUUUCUUUUCCAUAGAAACUGCCCACAUGUGAUCAUCACUGAGCUCAGAUGGCAGUUUCUCCCUCGAAGUUUCCCCAUUGCUGCUCCAGGCGGCUUCUCUCAUCCCAGAUGGGCCCAGACACAGACAUGCUGUGUGGACCACAGCCUGCCAGCAUCUUCUCAACACAGCGAUGAGUCGUUACACUUCUGCUUUUCAGCCAAC